GCGCGUGUGGCCAAGUGGUACGGCGUCUGUCUCGUAAACAGAAGAUCGCGGGUUCGAUUCCCGUCAUGCGCA
rfam:Aspergillus zonatus CBS 506.65 unplaced genomic scaffold ASPZOscaffold_14, whole genome shotgun sequence.